AUUGAACGCUGGCGGCAGGCCUAACACAUGCAAGUCGAGCGGAUGAAGGGAGCUUGCUCCUGGAUUCAGCGGCGGACGGGUGAGUAAUGCCUAGGAAUCUGCCUGGUAGUGGGGGAUAACGUCCGGAAACGGGCGCUAAUACCGCAUACGGCCUGAGGGAGAAAGUGGGGGAUCUUCGGACCUCACGCUAUCAGAUGAGCCUAGGUCGGAUUAGCUAGUUGGUGGGGUAAAGGCCUACCAAGGCGACGAUCCGUAACUGGUCUGAGAGGAGGAUCAGUCACAGUGGAAAUGAGAAACGGCCCCAGACCCGACGGGAGGCAGCAGUGGGGAAUAUGGGGAAAGGGGCGAAAGCGUGAACCAGCCAAGGCGGGUGGGUGAAGAAGGGCUUCGGAUUGUAAAGCACUUUAAGCUGGGAGGAAGGGAAGUAAGUUAAACCUUGGCUUUUUGACGGUAACCAAAAGGAAAAGCCCCGCUAACUUCGUG
rnacentral:rRNA from 1 species